rnacentral:misc_RNA from 1 species
AACUGAUACUACCUGCGGGAACCUGCGGAGGGAUCAUUACAGAGUUACAUAACUCCCAAACCCUUGUGAACCUACCUGUACGUCGUUGCUUCGGCGGGUAGCCCCAUACGGGGCCGAGCCUCCUAGCGAGGUGCCCGCCGGAGGACCAACUCAAAACUCUUGCAAUUUGUGGCCUCUCUGAGUAUUAUAUAAAUAAGUCAAAACUUUUAGCAAUGGAUCUCUAGAUCGGAAGAGCACACG